rnacentral:rRNA from 1 species
AAUCUUCCACAAUGGACGGAAGUCUGAUGGAGCAACGCCGCGUGAGCGAAGAAGGUUUUCGGAUCGUAAACUUCUAUCAGUAGGGACGAAAGAAAUGACGGUACCUAACUAAGAAGCCCCGGCUAACUACGUGCCAGCAGCCGCGGUAAUACGUAGGGGGCAAGCGUUAUCCGGAAUCACGGGGUGUAAAGGGUGCGUAGGCGGCAAUGUAAGUCAGAUGUGAAAUCCCGGGGCUCAACCCCGGGCGUGCAUUUGAAACUGCAUAGCUAGAGUGCAGGAGAGGAAAGUGGAAUUCCUAGUGUAGCGGUGAAAUGCGUAGAUAUUAGGAGGAACACCAGUGGCGAAGGCGACUUUCUGGACUGUAACUGACGCUGAUGCACGAAAGCGUGGGUAGCGAAC